rnacentral:rRNA from 1 species
GAUGAACGCUGGCGGCGUGCCUAAUACAUGCAAGUCGAGCGAACGGACGAGAAGCUUGCUUCUCUGAUGUUAGCGGCGGACGGGUGAGUAACACGUGGAUAACCUACCUAUAAGACUGGGAUAACUUCGGGACACCGGAGCUAAUACCGGAUAAUAUUUUGAACCGCAUGGUUCAAAAGUGAAAGUCGGUCUUGCUGUCACUUCUAGAUGGAUCCGCGCUGCAUUAGCUAGUUGGUAAGGUAACGGCUUACCAAGGCAACGAUGCAUAGCCGACCUGAGAGGGUGAUCGGCCACACUGGAACUGAGACACGGUCCAGACUCCUGCGGGAGGCAGCAGUAGGGAAUCUUCCGCAAUGGGCGAAAGCCUGACGGAGCAACGCCGCGUGAGUGAUGAAGGUCUUCGGAUCGUAAAACUCUGUUAUUAGGGAAGAACAUAUGUGUAAGUAACUGUGCACAUCUUGACGGUACCUAAUCAGAAAGCCACGGCUAACUACGUG